rnacentral:rRNA from 1 species
CCUACGGGCGGCAGCAGUGGGGAAUAUUGCACAAUGGGGGAAACCCUGAUGCAGCGACGCCGCGUGAGUGAAGAAGUAUUGCGGUAUGUAAAGCUCUAUCAGCAGGGAAGAAAAUGACGGUACCUGAGUAAGAAGCCCCGGCUAACUACGAGCCAGCAGCCGCGGUAAUACGUAGGGGGCAAGCGUUAUCCGGAUUUACUGGGUGUAAAGGGAGCGUAGACGGCAGCACAAGUCUGGAGUGAAAUGCCGGGGCUUAACCCCGGAACUGCUUUGGAAACUGUGCAGCUAGAGUGCAGGAGAGGUAAGUGGAAUUCCUAGUGUAGCGGUGAAAUGCGUAGAUCUUAGGAGGAACACCAGUGGCGACGGCGGCUUACUGGACUGUAACUGACGUUGAGGCUCGAAAGCGUGGGGAGCAAACAGGAUUAGAUACCCGGGUAGUC